UACGGAGGAUGCAAGCGUUAUCCGGAAUGAUUGGGCGUAAAGCGUCCGCAGGUGGCAAUGUAAGUCUGCUGUCAAAGCGUCUGGCUCAACCAGAUAAAGGCAGUGGAAACUACAUAGCUAGAGUAAGGUAGGGGUAGAGGGAAUUCCUGGUGUAGCGGUGAAAUGCGCAGAUAUCAGGAGGAACACCGGUGGCGAAGGCGGAUCUCUGGGCCAUUACUGACGCUGAGGAACGAAAGCGUGGGGAGCGAACAGG
rnacentral:rRNA from 1 species